CUCAAAACCUGAAGCAAAGCAAUUUGGAUUUAUGGCAACGAAACAUUGUCCCUGAAAGAUAAGGAGAGCGUAAGUGAUCAAAGGUGUGAUGCCACAGGACUGGAGGACCAUCAAUGUUGGACUGUUGUUUAAAAAUGGAGGAGAGUACUGUAUAGCCCAAGUAAUUACAGGUUAAUCAAACUCACUGGGCAGAAUCUGCCCAGCCAUUGAAAGAUGGGGAGAGUGGCAGAAAAUGGUGAGAAUUGUGUGCGGUCAACGAUAAUGAGAUUCCUGACAUGUCAGCAAAAAGUCCCAUUUUCGAAGCAAGUGUUGAAGGACGAGACACCAUUCUCACCAGUGGUGAAUGAAUGUACACAAGCAAGUUACUUUAUCAGAAACUCACAGCAAAGUGCUUAUGUUGACAACAACUUUGAUCUAGCAAAGCAAAACUGGAUAUCAAGAACACAUCUAAGUAUCACUCAUUGAUAUUCACAGCAUUGCCAUCACUGAAUCCCCCACUGUCAAUAUCUUGGGAGUUACUAUUGAUCAAAAACUGAACAGGGCUUGAUGUAUAAAUACUGUGCCUACAAGAGCAGGUUAAGAGGCUAUGAACACUGCAAUGACUCCUCAAGAUAUGUCUAUCAUGUACAGUGCGUAAGCCAUGAGUUAUGGAAAAUUUGCUUGCCUGGAUGAUUGCAACUCUAAAAAAAGUUAAAGCUUGAUACCAUCAAGGAUAAAGUAGCCUGCUUGAUUGGCAACACAUCCACAAACAUUCACUGCCGCCAAACCCAAUGCUCAAUAGCCACUAUGUACAAGAUGCACUACAGAAUUUCACCAUAGCUCCUUUGACAGUACCUUCCAAACGCAUCACUACUUUCAUCUAGAAGAUCAAGGCAGCAGAUACAUGGGUACAACACCACCUGCAGUUUCUUCUACUUGCUACUUACCAUCCAGAUUUGGAAAUGUACCAUCGUUUCUUCACUGUCACUGGGUCAAAAUUGUGGACUACUCUCUGCCUAAUGGCAUUAUGGGCCUACCCACACUAAAUGGACCACAGUUCUUCAAGAAGACAGCCAACUGCUACCAUCUUGAAGCAACUAGAAAUGGGAAAUAAUCUGUGGGUCAGCUUUUAAUUUAAAGCAAACUGGAAUUGUGAACUUCUGAGUUUGUUUAACAAAGGAAAAAAACACGAGUGAUUCAGAAUUUGGUUUUAUUUAUUCCAUAAUGCUGGCAAUUAUGAUUCUAAUGUGCAUAAUACAAAACGUUGGCUGUAAUGUGGUAAUGGUCACAAUGUUGACCUGAAGGUCAUCUCAGUUGGAAUAGUGCACUUAGAAGAGGAAAUAGGAGACAAUGGCCAAAAUACAAGACCAAAGGGUUCUUGGAAAAUCCGGCAAUCUGAAUAUAAACUAUUUCUACCACUUCAGCAGUCAGGAGAUCAAUGGCAGUCCAUUGUUGCUUGUCCUAUUUUCUAUUAUACCUAACCACAAUUGAGACCAUUCUAAAUUAAAUUAUUGUAGAUGUUGGAAAUCUGAGACAAACCAAAGAUAUUAAACACUCAUGUGGGCAGCAACAGGACAGAGAGAAAUAAAGUUAACAUGUCCAAUUUUGUGCUGUGAAAGUGUCUGGGCUUUGAAUCAUUUGAAAUCUUCCUCCAAGGUUCACUGUGAUGAUCUAUUAACAGAAUCCAAUCAAACUGGAAAUUAUCUGUAUUGCCUGAAUAGAUUUACUUCUGGCCCCUUGUAUGUUCCCAGCCAUCAUUGCUCCACCGUAUGUUCAGUUACCUCAAUGUUAAACUUUGAAAUUCUGGCAUGACACCUCUCUUUACCAAUGUCUCUAUUUAAAGAUACUCUCGAGUGCUUAUUCUGCUCAAGGCUGUCAUUACCCUCAUAUAUUUUUUGUGGUAGGGAGUUAUACUUUGUUUUAUUUCACUUCGAGAAGCAUCUUAGUCCACUUCAUUAUAUCUAUACAUCAUCUUUAAUGUUAUUUAUUGUUUGGUCAGUCCUGUGUGAUUACAACACGAACACUACAAAUUUACCUAAUACAGUUACAUUUGGAUAACAACAUCAUCUAAACAAUGGGCGACUGCUCCUCAGCUAAACUGACUCUAGCUGGUUUUGUGCAUUUUCUUCGCUCACAAUAAGAUGACAACAAUAACUUACAUUUAUCUGUUGUCUUAAACCUAGUUGAACUUGUCAAGGUACUUCAUGAUGUGUAUGGGUUGGGGUGUGAUCUGGAGCAAGGUAUCUGGGUGUGAUACCUUGGGAGAGAGCCAUCUGUGAAACCAUAUACCAGUGAGGAGUUUGGUAUUUCCAGGAGAAACAAUGGCUUAGAAAGACAAUUGCAUAAAGAAUUAAAGAAUGCUGCUCUUCCACAACACUUAAAAAUAACAAAAAUAUUCCCUUUAAAAAUAGUGGACCUCUUAAAUGUAAGUAAUAAAAUCCAUUUGAGCAUGCUGUUAUACUAUAUCAUCCUGUAUUACUGUUGUUAUGAAUUUCAAAUGGCCACAAAACCUGGCUUAUACUUACUUACUUUCGCUUUGUUUUGAUGACCAUCUCAUUUGACAAACUACCAACAAUUAAUGAAACAAACUUUGCUUCAGAUUUAUUUCUAUCUUGGUAUUUUUUGCUUUUAAAUCUUUUGCCCCUCCCUGCCUACUUAUAUUCAUUCCUCUGUUUUUAAUUCCUUUGCUGUUGCGACAAAUAGCACACCACUAUGACACUUCAAUUAAAGCUUCAUUAAACAGAUCAAA